ACUCCUGCGGGAGGCAGCAGUGGGGAAUAUUGCACAAUGGGCGCAAGCCUGAUGCAGCCAUGCCGCGUGUAUGAAGAAGGCCUUCGGGUUGUAAAGUACUUUCAGCGGGGAGGAAGGCGAUAAGGUUAAUAACCUUGUUGAUUGACGUUACCCGCAGAAGAAGCACCGGCUAACUCCGUGCCAGCAGCCGCGGUAAUACGGAGGGUGCAAGCGUUAAUCGGAAUUACUGGGCGUAAAGCGCACGCAGGCGGUCUGUCAAGUCGGAUGUGAAAUCCCCGGGCUCAACCUGGGAACUGCAUUCGAAACUGGCAGGCUAGAGUCUUGUAGAGGGGGGUAGAAUUCCAGGUGUAGCGGUGAAAUGCGUAGAGAUCUGGAGGAAUACCGGUGGCGAAGGCGGCCCCCUGGACAAAGACUGACGCUCAGGUGCGAAAGCGUGGGGAGCAAACAGGAUUAGAAACCCUGGUAGUCC
rnacentral:rRNA from 1 species